AGAGUUUGAUCCUGGCUCAGGAUAAACGCUGGCGGCGUGCCUAAUGCAUGCAAGUCGCACGGGAACCCUUUCGGGGGUCGACCGUGGCGGACGGGUGAGGAACACGUAGCUAACCUGCCCAACAGAGGGGGAUAACCUCGGGAAACCGAGGCUAAUACCGCAUACGCUCAAGCCUGGGGACGGGCGUGAGGAAACGGAGCAAUCCGCUGAUGGAGGGGGCUGCGGCCGAUUAGCUAGUUGGUGGGGUAAAAGCCUACCAAGGCGGUGAUCGGUAGCUGGUCUGAGAGGACGAUCAGCCACACGGGGACUGAGACACGGCCCCGACUCCUACGGGAGGCAGCAGCAAGGAAUUUUCCACAAUGGGCGCAAGCCUGAUGGAGCAACGCCGCGUGGGGGAUGACGCUUUUCGGAGUGUAAACCCCUUUUCGAGAGGACGAAGCUAAUGACGGUACUCUCGGAAUAAGGACCGGCUAACUACGUGCCAGCAGCCGCGGUAAGACGUAGGGUCCGAGCGUUGUCCGGAGUUACUGGGCGUAAAGCGCGCGCAGGCGGUCACGUACGUCGGGUGUGAAAGCCCCCCGCUCAACGGGGGAGGGUCAUUCGAAACGGCGCGACUGGAGGCAGGGAGAGGUCGGUGGAAUUCCCGGUGUAGUGGUGAAAUGCGUAGAUAUCGGGAGGAACACCAGUGGCGAAGGCGGCCGACUGGACCUGUACUGACGCUGAGGCGCGAAGGCGUGGGGAGCGAACGGGAUUAGAUACCCCGGUAGUCCACGCAGUAAACGAUGUGCACUAGGUGUGGGGGGUGUAGACCCCCUCCGUGCCGGCGCUAACGCAGUAAGUGCACC
rnacentral:rRNA from 1 species